GAAGGCCUUCGGGUUGUAAAGCACUUUCAGUCGUGAGGAAAGGUUAGUAGCUAAUAACUGCUAACUGUGACGUUAGCGACAGAAGAAGCACCGGCUAACUCCGUGCCAGCAGCCGCGGUAAUACGGAGGGUGCGAGCGUUAAUCGGAAUUACUGGGCGUAAAGCGUGCGUAGGCGGUUUGUUAAGCGAGAUGUGAAAGCCCAGGGCUCAACCUUGGAACUGCAUUUCGAACUGGCAGGCUAGAGUAUUGUAGAGGGUGGUGGAAUUUCCAGUGUAGCGGUGAAAUGCGUAGAGAUUGGAAGGAACAUCAGUGGCGAAGGCGGCCACCUGGACAAAUACUGACGCUGAGGCACGAAAGCGUGGGGAGCAAACAGGAUUAGAUACCCUGGUAGUCCACGCCGUAAACGAUGUCAACUAGCUGUCUGUAGACUUGAUCUGUGGGUAGCGUAGCUAACGCGCUAAGUUGACCGCCUGGGGAGUACGGCCGCAAGGUUAAAACUCAAAUGAAUUGACGGGGGCCCGCACAAGCGGUGGAGCAUGUGGUUUAAUUCGAUGCAACGCGAAGAACCUUACCAUCCCUUGACAUCCAGAGAACUUACUAGAGAUAGUUUGGUGCCUUCGGGAACUCUGAGACAGGUGCUGCAUGGCUGUCGUCAGCUCGUGUUGUGAAAUGUUGGGUUAAGUCCCGCAACGAGCGCAACCCCUAUCCUUAUUUGCCAGCGCUUCGGGCGGGAACUCUAAGGAGACUGCCGGUGAUAAACCGGAGGAAGGUGGGGACGACGUCAAGUCAUCAUGGCCCUUACGGGAUGGGCUACACACGUGCUACAAUGGCAGAUACAGAGGGCAGCAAGACCGCGAGGUGGAGCGAAUCCCACAAAGUUUGUCGUAGUCCGGAUCGGAGUCUGCAACUCGACUCCGUGAAGUCGGAAUCGCUAGUAAUCGUGGAUCAGAAUGCCACGGUGAAUACGUUCCCGGGCCUUGUACACACCGCCCGUCACACCAUGGGAGUGGGUUGCAAAAGAAGUAGCUAGCUUAACCUUCGGGAGAGCGGUUACCACUUUGUGAUUCAUGACUGGGGUGAAGUCGUAACAAGGUAACCCUAGGGGAACCUGGGGUUGGAUCACCUCCUUA
rnacentral:rRNA from 1 species